rnacentral:lncRNA from 1 species
CGGAAAUAAUACUAAACCUCAAAUUAAACCAUUACACUAUUAUAAUAAAACUCAACAGUACAGUAGCCAACACUUCCCCAAAACCUGGUGGAACAGAGUCAUAAGCUUUACAAGAAAGUACUAAUAAUAUGAUACUAUUUUGGGACAAGAAAUAAACAGUAGAAAGUCUAAAAAAUAGAAGAUGACUCCAAGGCCUGCGGGCACCGGGCAGGUAUACCUUGAAUUCUCCGGAAGACAGCUAACAAGUCAAUCAUUAACGUCCAACACCGGCAGAUGGACCUGGAUCUGUACAAAAGAUGUGUAGAAGCGUAGUAUGAGUACACCAUAACGGUACCCAGUAAGUAUCAAUCCUAACCUAGGUAGAGUAGUGACGAGGAUAAGUCAAGACACCUACUAGGACAUAAUAAAUAGAACAAAAAUAUAAUAACGAGAAGUAAUGAAAACGGAGAAAUGAAUGAUAACAAAGCAAUCUGGUAACGUAAACUAAUGACAGAAUUGUAAGCAGAAAGACAACAAGAAGGGCACAAUUAAUGAGAACCUCAAAUAAUCAAAUGCGGACAAACUAUUAUGACAAGGAAACAUAAAAACAACAAGAACGCUUCAACCAAUAACUCUUUUCGAUGUGAAGUGCAAAACAAGAAUCACAUCCGAGGUACUGUCUCGUGUUCAUGUUUCACAAUUUUAAUCACUAUCUUUCCUUAUAUCAUUGCGGGAGCCUCACAUUUAGUUUUGAAAAUCAUUAUUCCCGAAAUAGCUACCCGCAUUUUAGCCCACCUAAUCACACUGCGUGGCUUCAAGUAGUUCCCCUACUAGCAACACGCGUAUCAAGCCCACCUUAUCUCAGUGCAUGCGUAUCAACCCCUAGCCUUAUACCACCGCAUGCGUAUCAAUAUCACAACUCGCACCACAAGUGCCCAUAUGCCACAAACUUGCCAAAAGAAUCAACAAUAUCAAUGUUUUCACAAGAAAUAGCCCAUGGCUCAACCACAAUGUGCACAAGAAUCUCAAUAAUAACAAAAUGAAAGUGAAUUUCUCAACAAGAAAGAUAUCUCAACAAUUAACAACCUCACCUUAAUAUGAUAACGACUUUCUCAACUUUAACACCAAUAAAUCAACAAUAAGAUAUUUCACGAAAUAACAACUUCAAUUACAAUUAAUUCAAUAAAUUUAAAUGAAACAAGGCAAUAACUUCAACUAAGCAUAUGAGAGAAAAAUGACAAGUAAGAGGUAGAACAAGUGUUAACAAUGUCAUAUAAAGCAUGUAAGGGUAGAUUAAUACAUGUAAGAGUUAAUUAACAAUGAGGGAUGUAACAUGUUAUGGCAAUUCAAUUAAAGGCAUGAAAAGAGUCUAAAUAACCUAAACCGGUCAAAUACCACAUAUAAUCCGUGUACGCACUCAUCACCUUGCAUACACGGCUUUCACAUAACAUAAAUAUAAUAAUAAAUCCCAAAUCCUAAGGGGUAGUUCCCCCACACAAAGUUAGGUAAGAUACUUACCUCAACUAGGCCAACUCAACCCUCGAAAAUAGCUUUUCCCCUAAAAUUCGCUUCCACAUGGCUCAAAUCCAACCAAAAUUGACUUAAUAUCAUCAACCAAUGCAAGGGAAACAAUUAAAAUAGAUAAAGCUAUGAUCUUUACACUUUUUUCAAAAAGUCAACAAAAGUCAACCCUAGGCUCGUACGAUCAAAACCUGGGUCCAAUGGUAGAUUCCGAUCACCCAUAACCCACGAGUCCAUAUAUGUGAUUAGUUUCAAUAUCCGAGUCCAAAUAGACUCUCAAAUUCUCAUUUUUCAAAAACUUGGCAAACUUUCCCAAUUUUUUCUCUUUGAUUCACAUAAAUUUGAUGUUAAAUAUAAGACAUAUUCAUGAAAUAUAUUUGGAAAUUGAUUAGAAUCACUUACCCAAUAUUUGUAGAUUAACCCCCCCCCCCCUCUCCAGAUCGCCUCCUACCGAGUCUAGGGUUCUAAAAUAUGAGAAAUGAGACUAAAUCCUGACUUUCCAGCCCUUAUGUUCAGCUGCAGAUGUCACAUUUGCGACAAUGUGAACCCUCACAAUUGUUGACCAGGGAUCACAUAUGCUAACCCUGAUAGCCUCAACAAACAUCACAAUUGCGACAAAGGCUUCGCAAUUGCGAAGCUGGAUAGCUUUGCAAAAGCGACCAAGUGGUCCAGAAUGCGACUCAUGCCCCAGGCCUACUAACUUCACAAAUGCGAAGGGGUAAGUCACAAUUGCGACAUCAAACCACCCCCGAUCACCUUCGCAAUUGCGACAACAAAGCACUAGCACACCAGCACACCAACAAUUCUUUUUUCCAUUCAAACCAUUCUGAAUCACGUCCGAAACUCAUCCAAGCCCUCGGGGCUCCAAACUAAACAUCCACACAAGUCUAAUAACAUCAUACGAACUCGCUCGCAUGAUCAAAAUACAAGAUCACAUCUAGUAAACUUCAAGAACAUCUAGAAUUGCAACCAAGCGUCUGAAUCCUACCAAAUCAACUCCAAUUGAUACCAAAUUUUGCAGACAAGUUCUAAAUAGCAUAACAGACCUAUUCCACGUCCAAAAAUCCAAUUCUAAACCUGAUAGCCAAAAGUCAACCUACAUUCAAACUUCUAAACCCGAGGGCCACUGAUUAGCAUCGCCAGAUAACUCAUCAAUAAUUGUAACUAUCUCCUUUGGAGUCUUCUUCAUCAAUGGGCCUCCAGAUGCAUUGCUCAAUGUUCUACAUGAGGCCGAUGUCAAUCCAUCUCAAAAGUCCUGUAGUUGCAUCCAAAGUUCAAUUCCAUUAUGUUGACACUUUCUAACUAUCUCCUUAAACCUCUACCAUGCUUUGAUAAUAGUCUCGGUCUCUUUCUGGCAGAAGUUAUGGAUUUCUCUUCUAAACUUGCCCAUUUUAGCUCAGGAGAAAUAUUUAUCAAGAAAUUUUCUGGUCAUCUCCUCCCAUGUUCUAAUUGACACCGUGGGUAAGCUUCGAAGCCACUGCUUUGCAUCAUCUUUGAGUGUGAAGGGGAAUGCCCUUAAGUAUACUGCGUCUUGUGACACACCAUUGUAUUGAAAGGUGUUCAUAAUCUCCUUGAAGUCUAUUAGAUAUGUAUUUGGAUCUUUUUUCAUCUUCCCUUUGAAAACAUAGCAAUUCUGAAGGGUUUGAAGCAACCCUUGCUUCAAUUCGAAAUUGUUAGCUGCACUUGGAGGUGCUCUCACACUUGAUAAGCCUUGAUUGUAGAUCGGUCUAGAAUGAUGCCCAGUGAUCUCCCAGGCAUGGGAGCUAUAUUUCCGAACUGGUCUGCAGCCAAGGGUUGAUUUUGAGCAAUUCUCUCACCCCUCUCUCCUUCAUAGAUAAUUUAUGCUUCUCUGAUAGCUGCUUCCUCAGCAUCCCGUGCAGCUUUUUCUCAUUGUUAGGCUGCCUCUCUUGCAGCCAAAUCUACAUUAUCAUCACCGUUUCCCGUCAUAAUUUCCUUGGUUGAGGAUUGCCCAACCCUUUCUAAUGUCUCGGUGAGAUUUAUUGCCUUCCUCAGCUAUAACGAUUAUUUUUCUAUCUCUGGCUUGUAUGGUAUCACUUCUUUCGCAUAAGCUCGAGUCAUGCACCAACCUUAACCUAUAACCUGCGCACAACCAAAGAACACUAAAUGUAAAAAGAGAAAAUAGAAAUAAAAAGAAAAAAAGUCGUGAAUUUGCACUACAAUCUAUUUCAAACAAUAUUGAUUGCCAAUCCCCGGCAACGGUGCCAAAAUUUGACGAGUGCAAAACACACCCUUAAAUUCUUCUCGCUAAUCAAAUAUAGUAUAGUAUAAUAUUGUAUCUACAGGGAUUGGAUUUAAAUAGUAUUCUCGUAGUUUCUAGCUUGGUUGCUAUCCAAGAUGAUCAAAAAUUGAGAUUUAUAAGAUGUCUAACUAAAAUUAACUAAGAAUCUAAACCUAUUGACUAAUGACAAUCGAAACAAGGAAUAAGCAAAUAAAGUUAUCAAUGGGAGAAGAUAGGGUUUUGAUAGAAUAGAUGCAAGAUAAUUGUUUGGGAUCUAACUCUAGAUAAUUCAUUUCUAAUGUUCAAGUGACUCUCUCGAAUUCACUCAAUUAGUAGAUCAAACGUUAGGAAAAACUCCUCUCUCGAUUAAGUCUUAACCUCAAAAGAUGAACCAAUUUAAGCACGCGAAGAUAUGCAAGAAUACGUAAUGGAUUGGUCUUUAGGAGAACCUCUUUCGAUUAUUCGCCUAACUAGGUUUAAUAAAUGAUUCAACUAGCCUCUUUCAAUUACUUAGAAGAAUCUAUGAACUCAACCAAUAAUAUAAUGCAAAGAUAUCACAAAUUAUGCCUCUCUCGAUUACAUGAAUAAGUGAUUAUAGAUGCAAUAAUUAAUUCAUCCAAAAAAUGAUUCAAUACAUAAACUAGAGUUAUAAUCCACAAACAAUCAUCAAUAUACCAAAUCCAUCAAACCCUAAAAAGAACUACUCCAUAGAUAUGGAGGAAUUCAUCACAGAUAAAAUUAAAUUAUAGAAAACAUAAAUUCAAUCCAUACACGGGUCUUGAGUGAGGAAGGAAUGAUGAAAUCCUUAUGCUUGUGUUCUUCCAACUCCGACUUAGCCUUCUCAGGUCCAAAGUAUGUCGAAAGUCCCAAACAUAACAUUUUUUCCAUGUAUUUAUACUAAGUAGGGUUGGGCCCAAAUGAAACCACCUUCUCCUAGCCGAAAUAGGAUAUUGGCUCUGUAAAAAAUACACAGGUGUGUCGCAUGGGGCGACGCGCCAUGCGGGGCAUUAGUGGGGAAAUCUAGAGAGCUCAACAAUUGACAGGCAGUAGGAAAUAGGCAGUUGCAGCGCCCCACAUGCCACGACAGUGGGGUUUUCUCAGAGUACGACUUAAACUUCGAUUUUUGAUGUCUAGACUUGGUUCUCGACCCCCGAACACAAUCCCAGCUUAAUCCCUUGGGCUUUUACUCUGACUUCAAAGCUCCAAAUUGCUCGAAUUCAUUCUAUAAUAUCUACAUAGCUCGGGAUCACUCCUAUAAGGAAUAGAAAACACAGUUUGUGCAAAACACUAUUAAUUAAAGCUCAAACACAAGUAAAGUGCAGUGAAUUAGAGUGCAAUAAACAACUAAACACGAGAUUAUAGUCUACCAUCAACAUCCGCAUGGUACCAUCCUUCUUCUUCACAAACAGAACCGGUGCACCCUAAGGCGACACACUAGGCCUAAUGAACCCCUUAUCAAGAAGCUCUUGAAGUUUCUCUUUCAAUUCUUUCAACUUUGCUGGUGCCAUACGAUACAGAGGAAUAGAAAUUGGCUGAGUGCCCCGUACCAAGUCAAUGCCAAAAUCAAUGUCCCUUUUGCGUGGCAUGCCCGGAAGGUCUGUAGGUAACACAUCCGGAAAGUCCCGCACUACCGGAAUAGAAUGAAUGGUAUGAGUAUCAGUACAAACAUCCCUCACAAAGACCAAAUAUGACAAACACCCCUUCCCAACCAUCCAUUGGGCCUUCAGAUAUGAAAUCACCCUACUGGAAACAUAGUCCAGAGAACCUCUCCACUCGAUCCUAGGUAACUCAGGUAUCGCCAACGUCACGGUCUUAGCGUGACAAUCCAGAAUAGCAUGACAUAGGGACAACCAAUCCAUGUCCAGAAUCACAUCAAAAUCAACCAUACUAAGCAAUAAGAGAUCAACUCUAGUAUCCAAUCCCUCAACGGUAACCACACAUGACCGAUACACUCGGUCCAAAAUAAUAGAAUCGCCCGCCGACGUAGAUACAUGAACAUGCGAAACUAAGGACUCACGGGGCAUAUCCAAAUAUUAGCAAAAUACAAUGAUCAUAUGAAUAAGUGGCACCAGGGUCAAAUAAUAUCGAAGCAUCCCUGUAGCAUACUGAGACAAUAUCUAUGAUCAUUGCGUCUGAAGCAAUAGUCUCUGGCCUAGUAGGGAAAGCAUAGCAUCGAGCCUGACCGCCACCAGACCAGCCUUCCCCUUUAGGGCAACCAGUAGCUGCCUGAGCCCCACCUCGAGCUAGCUGAGCGAGUGGUGAAGUAACUAGUGCGAAAGUCAUAACCUGACCCCUCUGCUGAACUGGACCUCCAAAAUGAUAGGGACACUAACUCCACACAUGUCCAAACUCCCUGCACUCGAAGUAGCUCUGAUCCGCCAAUGGUGGUGGAGACUGAAUCGAACCAUGAGAACCAGUAUAGCUACUAGAAGAAUCCGGUACAGAUGACCCUUGAACUGAUGGAGCACGGGAUGAACUCAGAGCUGGGAGGGAACUAAGAGAUGACUGACCCGGACGAGCACUCUAUGAACCAUGGCUAGCCGAUGCACCACGAUGAACCGGACGAGCCAUUUGAGCGGGCCUAUAAGGAUGACCCCUAUUGUGGUGGAACUUCCCUCCAGAAGAAACACCGCUGAAACCACCCGAACCACGAGGCCUCUUGGCCUCCCUCUCCUCAUGCUCCUGACUAUGGACCUACUUUAGUCGCCUAACAAUAUCAACUACCUCAUCAAACCUAACACCUGAUGCAAUCUCUCGAGUCAUGAUGAAGCGCAGUCGAUAGUUGAGGCCAUCAAUGAACCUCCUAAUCCUCUCCCUCUCUAUGGGAACCAACUCGAUCGUGUGAUGAGCCAACUAUGAAAAUCUCAUCUCAUACUAGGUCACGGAUAUACCCUCUUGGCGUAGCUUCUUAAACUGCCUAUGUAACUCCUAUAUGCGGGUCUGUGGAACAAACUUCUUUAAGAAGAGAACUAAGAAAUCAUGCCACGUAAGUGGUGUAGUGCUGGCUGUCCUGCUCAACUCAUAGGCCUCCCACCAUCUGAAGGCUACCCCCGAUAGCUGAAAAGUAGUAACUGAGACUCCACUAGUCUCCAGAAUACCCGCUGUGUGAAGGAUCCACUGGCACCUGUCUAAGAAAUCUUGAGCAUCCUCUGACUCAGCCCCACUGAAUGUUGGAAGCCUGAGCCUCCCAAACUGCUCUAGCCUCUUUUGCUCCCCGUCACUCAUAGGUGGACCCACCUGGGCCUGAGAAACUAUAACCGGCUGGGCUGGUAGUACCCCUGAUGUCUGAAGUCCCUAAACCACCUGCUCUAGAGUACGGGCGAAGGGAGUAUGAGCACCUCCCCCGGCCUGAGAAGUGGCUAGUACAGCCUAAACUGAAACCGCCUGAGCAAGGCUAAUGCAUAAAGUCAAUAUCUGGGCCAAAGUUUCCCGAUGGCCUGGAAUCACAAUGGGCACAGCUGGUACUUGAGCAUGUCUCACCGGCUCAACUACAGAUGGUAUCUACUCCUAAGCUGGAGCAACUGGUGGCUCCACAGGUGCUGCUCUAGCUGCUGUAUGAGCGGCACCUCAGCCUCUACCAUGACCCCAGUCUCUCGUGGCCCUAGCUGAUGGUAUUGGUGGCCAUUUGCCUGAUCCGGUAGCGCGUUUCCGCACCAUAUGUGAGAGAAUAGAGUAAUAGAAGUUUAGUUUCCGAAAUCAACAAAUCCGCAAGGCAAGAAUACACGAGUGAAGUUUCCUAAUGAUUCGGUAGCCUCUCGAAGAUAAUUACAGACGUUCCUAUACCGAUCCGCAAGACUCUACUAAACCUGCUCAUGACUCAUGAGACCUAUGUAACCUAGGCUCUGUUACCAACUUUUCAUGACCCAAAUCUCAACAUGUCGUGAUGACGCCUAUCACAGUACUAGGCAGGCCAAGAAUCACAAAAUAACUACUCAUUUUGAAUUAAAAUCAUGAUGUAAUAAGUUUAAUUGUAAAAAUCUCAUAAAUAACCGAUAGGAACAACCGCGACUCAACUACAAAAUCCCCAAAAUAUGGGUAUCACCGAGUACAUGAGCUAUUAAAUGUCAACAUAGUCAAAAACUUCUAAUAUAAUUGUCUGGAAAGAUAGAACAGUGCUAAAUAAACUGAAAAGAAGGAGAGUUGAGGUCUACGGAUCCCAUAGCAGCUACCUCACUAGUCUCCAAGCAGGUAAUGCUCCAAGUCUUGCAACCACCGGGUCCAGAUGCACCUGUAUCUGCACACAGAGUGUAAUAUGAGUACAACCGACCCAGUGUACUCAAUAAGUAAUAGGACUAACCUUGGGCUGAAAGCAGUGACGAGCUAAAAAAGGUACAAUCCAAAUACAGAUAACAAAAAUACAGAUAUAACAUGAAAAUGACAGUAAUGACUCAGAGAAAUUUCAUAAUCAGUUUAUACAUAGUACAAAAAUAUAGACAUGCUUUCAAGUUCAACAGUUUAGGCUCAAUACUGAUAAAAUAUGCCAAGUAUAACUAGCAAAAGGAAUGUUACAUCUCUAUGUCUACAUGUCAAAUAUGCAUGUCAACUGUAAUGCAACAUAGUGAUAAAUUCAUAUACUCAUACUCUCGGAGUAUUCAACCUCACUCAGCACGCUCAAUCACUCAGUACUCCCAAUCACUCAACACUCUCAAUCACUCAGCACUCGCACUCGGCACUCGAACGGUACCUGUGCUCACUGCUGGUAUGUCAGAAUCAGGAGGGACGAAUCCUGCCAAAGCGCUAAUAUAAGCCAACAUGGCAUGCUACGGCGUGUAACCCAAUCCCAUCAUGAAUCAAUAAAGUCUGCUACGGCGUGCAGUCCGAUCCCAUAAAUAUCACUCACACUCAGGCCCUCGGCCUCAACUCAGGCAUCAAUCUCUCCACUCUCUCGAGCUCACAAAUCUCGUGCAAAUCAGCCCAAAUAAUGAUACAUGAUGUAACAAUAAAUGAAAACAGAAACUGAGAUAUGAUAUUCAAAUGUUGAAUGUGUCUGCGUACAUAAUUACAAUUUAAACAAAUAACUCAAAAUCAUAAAAGACCUCGAUGGGUCCCAACAGUAUCAGCAUAUAGCCCAAACACGAUUUCUAGCAUGGAUCACAGCUCAAUUUCUCUAACACAUGGAGGUUUCAUGAAUAACAACAAGAUUUGAUAAUUACACAGUACCACAAAAUCAACCGAAUCACAAUUACCAAGGUGCCCGCACGCCCAUCACCUAGCAUGUGCAUCACCUCAACACCAAUCACAUAACACGUAGUUCACAAAUUCAUACCCUCAGUACAAAGUUUAGAAGUAUUACUUACCUCAAACCGUGCAAAUAAUAACUCCAACAAGCCAUUGCCUCGUGAUUCAGCCCCCGAACGACUCGAAUCUGGCCACAAACAACUUAAUAUAAUCAAUGCAAGCUAUAGGAUUUGAUUCCAUACGAUAAAGCUAAGUUCUUUAACCAAAGUCAACAAGUCAACCCAAAAAGUCAACCACAAUCCCAUGUCUCGGAAUCCAACUAAAUUUAUAAAAUCCGAACACUCAUUUAAUAAUGAGUCCAACCAUACUAAAAUCAUCCAAUUCUGACCUCAAAUCGCCUUUCAAAUCCUCAAAAUAUAGUUUAUGAUGUUUCAACAAUUUUUCCCAAUUUUUCCAACCCAAAAUGCUAAUUAAAUGGUAAAAACAAUGAUAGAUUCAUGUAUAUUAACCAAAUCCGAGUUAGAAUCACUUACCCUAAUCAAUUCCUUGAAAAUCCCUUCAAGAACCGCCUCAAUCCGAGCUCCCGAAGUCUAAAUGUGAAAUAAUACUCUAACCCUCAUUUUUAAAAUUAAAUAUCUGCUGCCCAGACGUCCUUCUUCGUGAACGCGGAAAGUGCCUCGCGUUCGCGAAGCAAAAAAUCCUCAACUGCCCAAAAUCCUCUUAUGUGAAUGCGAGACCUCCCUCACGAUCACGAUGACCAAUGAUCCCUUGACUAUGCGAACGCGAACCAACUCCCGCAAACACGACAAGCCUGGUGCCCAACCUGCCUCAUCCUUCUACGCGAACGCGAGUCCUCUCUCGCGAUCAAGAUGCACAAACCCCUUAUACCUUCGCGAACGUGAAGCACAAACUUCCCUAGUCAACCAGAUACAAUUCACGAAUGCGAACAAGGAAACCAAACACCAGAAAUUCUACAUCUCAAAAAGGCCAAACUCAAUCCGCAAUCAAUCCGAAACUCACCCGAGACCCCUGGGACCCCAUCCAAAAAUAACAACAAGUCCUAAAACACGAUACGAACUUAAUCGAGGCCUUAAAUCACAUCAAAUAACAUCAAAAAUAUGAAUCGCACACCAAUUCAAGCCUAAUGGAACUAAUGGAUUUCCAAUGUCUACACUCGAUGCAGAAACCUAUCAAACCAACUCCGAUUGACCUCAAAUUUUGCACACAAGUCAUAAAUUAUACAACGGACCUAUUCUAAUUUUUGGAACCAAAAUUCGAGCUCAGUAACCACAAAGUCAACUCUCGGUCAAACUUCUCAACUCUCCAAACUUCAACUUUUCCAACUUUCGCCAUUUCAAGCCAAAAUCACCAACGGACCUCCAAAUCAAUAUCCAGACACACUCCUAAGUCCAAAAUCACCAUACAGGGCUAUCAGAACCAUCAAAACUCCAUUCUGGAGUCAUUUACACGUAAGUCAAUAUCCGGUCUAACUCUUCCAACUUAGACUUCCACCCUUGGGACUAAGUAUCCCAAUUCAUUCCGAAACAUCUCCGAAACCAAUCCAACCACCCCGGCAAGUCAUAUAAUAACAAACGAAUAUAAAAUAAGCGAUAAAUGGGAAAAUUAGGCUAAAAUACUCAAAAUAAGCGGCGAGCUCAUUACAUCAACAGAUUUUUAACAAAGAUUAGAAUAACAAAAAUUUCAUCACGAAAACUAUGACAGUAGCAAAAUGAGCGGGAAGGACUUCCCCUGAAAACUAUAUAGGUUGCCAGAAAAUUAUAGGCACAAGAUUUAUUGUCAAAAAAAUGAUAGUAAACAUUCAGGAAUCCGACAAUAAUGAUCGACAACAGUGGACUAUUGGCGUUACUUUGAUGAGGAAUUCCGGAACAACACCUAACCUCAAAAAUACGUCGCUGGCAUUUAUUUUUUUCCGGCCAAAGCUCGAAGGCAGCAAGGAGCGAGAUAUGGUCGCUAGUGAAGGUCAUUUUUUCCAACCAGAUCUAUAUAUUUUUAGUUAGAUCUGAGUGAACCAUAACAGUCACCGGAAAAGCUAUAAGCAAAUGGAGAUGAAGAUGGUCAGUGAUGUAGAGGGAGGUCACCGGCCCGGGGGUCAAAUCCGACGGUGGAGUUACAACAUCGUGGGGAAGGGGGGCUGGGCGUGUUUUCUCAAAGUUGAGAGAAAUCAGAUGGAAGAUAAAAGGGGGAGGCCUCUGAAAAUGGAGCUAAUGAGGGGAAUGGACAGCCUCAGGCAAAAAUGAGGGAGAGAGAUUAUUUGUUUUGGUGGUAAACAAAUCUGAUGUGUUCCUUAAAAUAUAUGAGUGUGUAAAAAAAUCGCAUAUGGUGAAUGUGUAGAAAAGAUAUGUGGCUAUUAUUGUAAGUAAAAAAUAAAGACAAUGUAAAAAUAAACAUGUGGCCUAAAAUGAAAC